UCUUCUGUAGCUCAGUGGUAGAGCGUCCGACCUUUGUGCGGGCCGGGAGGCCAUAGGUUCGACUCCUGUUGGGAGAA